UUUCCAAUUGAAAUAAGUCGGCGGGAUGCGGCCGUUUGGAAGAGCUGAUCAACUACCAUCACCACCAUCGAAAAUAUUCUUAUUUUGUUUCCCAGCCAUGUCUCCAGUCUGGCUCUUUGCUGGCGAACUUCUGCUGUUCGUAAGCAUCCGUUAACUUGCGCAAUGCUUGCUUCCGAUUCUGCUGCCGCUAGGAGUCCUGGUAACGGCUGGCGGGAACCUUCCGUCAGUUUUUAUUUUCAUGUCCGAUGAUGGGAACGAUCAAAAGUUUCCCAUGUUUGAUUUUGGUGUCCUGGUGCCAUUUGGGAACCAGGUGAUCGUCGUCCGUUUUACUGGGAGGUUGCACAUGAUCGGAACUAUCGACGGUUUCCUUAUCGGGGCAAGUUCUUCAUCUUACAGAACUUUAUUCGGAACUAAAUGAGGCCACUUCCUUAGCAAUCGUUUGCAAAGCGAUUUCGGAGGUAAAUUUUAUAAUAAAUUUUAAACAUAAAAGAAAUCAUAUUUGUUUUUUGUUCCCAGAUUUUACUAUUUCCCAUUGGUUAUUCGAACUAAAUAAACCGCCCCCCAACCCCCCACCUCAUCGGCGAUCAAAAUAAGAUAAGAACUAAAGGGACCACAACAAGUUCGCGGGAUGCGGCCCUUGAAAAAAGAUGACCAACAACAAAAAGGAAGCAUCCCUCGGAUGGCUCUCGAGGACUGCAUCUAUGCAUCUAUUGCGCGCUAUCUGGGAACGACUAUCAGCUCCCUUAGGGCGCUUGUUCAAUACUGUAAUGUCUCUUGGUGUGAUAACUCAAAGCCAAAGCACCGCUUCAAGUGAAGCUGUUCGUUUGAUACAGUUUCAAAUUGCCUCCUUCCCCCCUGAAUUAUUCAGCCGCUACAUAUACAUGGACUGGACCACCAGAUGAUGGCGAUCUAGAAGUUGGUCCGCCUCUCAGUUUGGACUGUUGCCCUUCUCCGAAGAAAGAGAAAAGGAAAUUUUACUUGGCUUUGCUGUUCCUUCAUCGACCGAAAAGGCCAUUCGGGUUUCACGGAUCUCUGCUAAUGGUGGCCAAGAGGAAUCAAAUUUUUAUAUUAAUCGGAACAACACGCCAAGAUGUUCAAAAUACAAUAAAUAGCGACCAGUAUUAAUCAACAGUAUCGAGAAAGUCGUUAGAUGGGGUUAACUACAUUGACUUCACCAAACAAAUAGACGGCUAAGGUACCCAAAAAGCAACAAAACGGGGUUUCAGGGCCUUACGCCAAAAGUUUCUUCUGAGUGACGCAUGCUAUCAGGGAUAGUUUUGAAAGGAGGAGCGG